rnacentral:rRNA from 1 species
UGCUGACGAGUGGCGGACGGGUGAGUAAUGCUUGGGAAUCUGGCUUAUGGAGGGGGAUAACUACGGGAAACUGUAGCUAAUACCGCGUAAUAUCGAGAGAUUAAAGGGUGGGACCGCAAGGCCACCUGCCAUGAGAUGAGCCCAAGUGGGAUUAGGUAGUUGGUGAGGUAAAGGCUCACCAAGCCGACGAUCUCUAGCUGGUCUGAGAGGAUGACCAGCCACACUGGAACUGAGACACGGUCCAGACUCCUACGGGAGGCAGCAGUGGGGAAUAUUGCACAAUGGGGGGAACCCUGAUGCAGCCAUGCCGCGUGAAUGAAGAAGGCCUUCGGGUUGUAAAGUUCUUUCGGUAGCGAGGAAGGCAUUUAGUUUAAUAGACUAGAUGAUUGACGUUAACUACAGAAGAAGCACCGGCUAACUCCGUGCCAGCAGCCGCGGUAAUACGGGGGGUGCGAGCGUUAAUCGGAAUAACUGGGCGUAAAGGGCACGCAGGCGGUGACUUAAGUGAGAUGUGAAAGCCCCGGGCUUAACCUGGGAAUUGCAUUUCAUACUGGGUCGCUAGAGUACUUUAGGGAGGGGUAGAAUUCCACGUGUAGCGGUGAAAUGCGUAGAGAUGUGGAGGA